rnacentral:rRNA from 4 species
GGUUGAAGGUUGGGUAACACUAACUGGAGGACCGAACCGACUAAUGUUGAAAAAUUAGCGGAUGACCUGUGGCUGGGGGUGAAAGGCCAAUCAAACCGGGAGAUAGCUGGUUCUCCCCGAAAGCUAUUUAGGUAGCGCCUCGUGAAUUCAUCUCCGGGGGUAGAGCACUGUUUCGGCUAGGGGGCCAUCCCGGCUUACCAACCCGAUGCAAACUGCGAAUACCGGAGAAUGUUAUCACGGGAGACACACGGCGGGUGCUAACGUCCGUCGUGAAGAGGGAAACAACCCAGACCGCCAGCUAAGGUCCCAAAGUCAUGGUUAAGUGGGAAACGAUGUGGGAAGGCCCAGACAGCCAGGAUGUUGGCUUAGAAGCAGCCAUCAUUUAAAGAAAGCGUAAUAGCUCACUGGUCGAGUCGGCCUGCGCGGAAGAUGUAACGGGGCUAAACCAU